rnacentral:miRNA from 1 species
CAGGUACUGCUCAGCCCUUUCCCUCUGGGGGAGCAAGGAGUGGUGUGGGUUUGUCUCUGCUGGGAUUUCUCCU